rnacentral:rRNA from 1 species
GACGAACGCUGGCGGCGUGCUUAACACAUGCAAGUCGAGCGGUAAGGCCCUUCGGGGUACACGAGUGGCGAACGGGUGAGUAACACGUGGGUGAUCUGCCCUGCACUUCGGGAUAAGCCGGGGAAACUGGGUCUAAUACCGGAUAGGACCACUGCCUGCAUGGGUGGUGGUGGAAAGCUUUUGCGGUGUGGGAUGGGCCCGCGGCCUAUCAGCUUGUUGGUGGGGUAAUGGCCUACCAAGGCGACGACGGGUAGCCGGCCUGAGAGGGUGACCGGCCACACUGGGACUGAGAUACGGCCCAGACUCCUACGGGAGGCAGCAGUGGGAAUAUUGCACAAUGGGCGCAAGCCUGAUGCAGCGACGCCGCGUGAGGGAUGACGGCCUUCGGGUUGUAAACCUCUUUCAGCACCGACGAAGCGCAAGUGACGGUAGGUGCAGAAGAAGGACCGGCCAACUACGUGCCAGCAGCCGCCGUAA